rnacentral:rRNA from 1 species
AAUAGAUACCCAGGUAGUCCACGCCCUAAACGAUGUCUACUAGUUGUCGGGGGGUAACUCCUUCGGUAACGCAGCUAACGCGUGAAGUAGACCGCCUGGGGAGUACGGUCGCAAGAUUAAAACUCAAAGGAAUUGACGGGGACCCGCACAAGCGGUGGAUGAUGUGGAUUAAUUCGAUGCAACGCGAAAAACCUUACCUACCCUUGACAUGCCACUAACGAAGCAGAGAUGCAUUAGGUGCCCGAAAGGGAAAGUGGACACAGGUGCUGCAUGGCUGUCGUCAGCUCGUGUCGUGAGAUGUUGGGUUAAGUCCCGCAACGAGCGCAACCCUUGCCAAUAGUUGCUACGAAAGGGCACUCUAUUGGGACUGCCGGUGACAAACCGGAGGAAGGUGGGGAUGACGUCAAGUCCUCAUGGCCCUUAUGGGUAGGGCUUCACACGUCAUACAAUGGCUGGUACAGAGGGUUGCCAAACCCGCGAGGGGGAGCCAAUCCCCACAAAACCAGUCGUAGUCCGGAUUGCAGUCUGCAACUCGA